rnacentral:rRNA from 1 species
AUGAUGAUGAUCUAUAUGAAGAAUGGGUUGAUGAAAAAUUUGAGAAGAAAAAAAAAGAAGAAAUCUGAAUGGGAGCAGGACAAUGACUAUGAUACAGAUGAACUGCAGGAGCUACAAGGUUCAGAGCUUGAAGAUAGUGAUUCAGCAGAGGAAGUGGAAGUAGUAGAUGCACAAGGAAGGAAAAAAAUGAAAAAGAAAGUGAAGCUGAAAAGGUGGAGGCCUGAGAACAUGAAAGAAGUCAAUUUUCACAUAGGCAUGGUGUUCUUGUCUGUCAUUGAACUAAGAGCAGCAAUUCAGGAGUACAUUGUGAAGCAAAGAGUGCAAAUUCAUUACAUAAAAAAUGAUAAGCAGAGGAUAUGGGCAGGUUGUGUUGGAGAUUGUCCCUGGUUCUUAUUUGCUGCACCUGACAGCAGGACCAAAGCAUGGGUUGUGAAGAAGUAUGUGGGUGAGCAUACAUGUGAAAGAGAGUGGGCACUCAAGCAAUUUACAGCAAGAUAUUUGGCUGGCAAGUAUGUGGAAACAUUUAGAGCAGAUGAGAAGAUGACACUGCAAAACUUUGGCAGACUUGUUCAAUUGGACUACAACAUGCAACCUACUAGAAGUAAGCUAGCUAGAGCAAGGAGGAUUGCACUAAAGAUAAUUCAUGGAGAUGAACUUGAGCAGUAUAAUUUACUGUGGGACUUUGCAGCUGAAAUCAGAAGAUCAAAUCCUGGCAGUACCAUGCUUGUGCAUGCAAACAAUGGAAAGUUUGAUAACUGCUACAUGUCCUUAGAUGCAUGCAAAAGGGGUUUUCUGCUAGCUUGUAGGCCCAUUAUAUGCAUUGAUGGGUGUCACAUUAAGAACAAGUAUGGUGGAGUGAUGCUGACAGCUGUUGGAGUUGAUCCUAACGAUUGUAUCUUUCCCAUUGCAAUUGCCAUAGUAGAAGUGGAAGAUACUGUCACAUGGAAGUGGUUUUUGAACACAUUGAAGGAGGAUCUGAACAUACAAAACACAGCACCAUGGACAUUGAUGAGUGAUAGGCAGAAGGGCUUGAUCAAUGCUGUCAAUGCAAUGUUUCCUGAUGCACAACAUAGAUUUUGUGUGAGGCAUCUGCAUCAAAACUUUGCAAAAAACUGGAAAGGUGAUGUAUUCAAGAAUAAAUUGUGGCAAAUUGCAAGAGCUACACAUGAGGCAGACUGGAAGAAGUACAUGCAAGAGAUGAAAGAGUUGGAUCAGGGGGCCUAUGAGUACUUGGAUGCAAUUGACCCAAGGCAGUGGUGCAAGGCCUAUUUCCAUGAACUCCCAAAGUGUGAUUUGCUUCUUAACAACAGCUGUGAAGUGUUCAACAAGUAA